rnacentral:rRNA from 1 species
GGGAGGCAGCAGUGGGGAAUAUUGCACAAUGGGCGCAAGCCUGAUGCAGCCAUGCCGCGUGUGUGAAGAAGGCCUUCGGGUUGUAAAGCACUUUCAGCGGGGAGGAAGGCGGUGAGGUUAAUAACCUCAUCGAUUGACGUUACCCGCAGAAGAAGCACCGGCUAACUCCGUGCCAGCAGCCGCGGUAAUACGGAGGGUGCAAGCGUUAAUCGGAAUUACUGGGCGUAAAGCGCACGCAGG